rfam:Eutrema salsugineum unplaced genomic scaffold scaffold_14, whole genome shotgun sequence.
AUGAAGAGAGCAUACUAAGAUAGCCAAGGAGACUGCCUGAAACCGUAACCCACAAGAUUCAAUCGAUUGUUGGAAUAUUGUUUUUGAAAUGCUAAAAAUUGAUUAAAAACCCCCAUAAAAUUGAAUUAUUGAGAAGAAUUUGGCGCAGGCAAGUCAUCCUUGGCUACUAAAUAUGAACUCUCUUCU